UGGGGAAUAUUGGACAAUGGGCGCAAGCCUGAUCCAGCCAUGCCGCGCGAGUGAUGAAGGCCUUAGGGUUGUAAAGCUCUUUCGCCGGUGAAGAUAAUGACGGUAACCGGAGAAGAAGCCCCGGCUAACUUCGUGCCAGCAGCCGCGGUAAUACGAAGGGGGCUAGCGUUGCUCGGAAUCACUGGGCGUAAAGCGCACGUAGGCGGAUCGUUAAGUCAGGGGUGAAAUCCUGGAGCUCAACUCCAGAACUGCCCUUGAUACUGGCGAUCUCGAGUUCGAGAGAGGUUGGUGGAACUCCGAGUGUAGAGGUGAAAUUCGUAGAUAUUCGGAAGAACACCAGUGGCGAAGGCGGCCAACUGGCUCGAUACUGACGCUGAGGUGCGAAAGCGUGGGGAGCAAAACAGGAUUAGAUACCCUGGUAGUCCACGCCGUAAAACGAUGGAUGCUAGCCGUUGGGGGGUUUACCUCUCAGUGGCGCAGCUAACGCCUUAAGCAUCCCGCCUGGGGAGUACGGUCGCAAGAUUAAAAACUCAAAUGAAUUGACGGGGUCAUAGCUGUUUCCU
rnacentral:rRNA from 1 species